rnacentral:rRNA from 1 species
CAANUCGNACGGCAGCGCGGGNCANCCUGNCGGCGAGUGGCGAACGGGUGAGUAAUAUAUCGGAACGUNCCCAAGAGUGGGGGAUAACGUAGNGAAAGUUACGCUAAUANNGCAUACGNAUNUAAGGAUGAAAGCAGGGGNUCUUNGGNCCNUNNUGNUCCUGGAGCGGCCGAUAUNUGAUUAGCUANNNNNNGAGGNUAAAAGGCUCNCCAAGGCGACGAUCAGUAGCUGGUNUGAGAGGACGACCANNCACACNGGAACUGAGACNCGGUCCAGACUCCUACGGGAGGCAGCAGUGGGGANUUUUGGACAAUGGGCGAAAGCCUGAUCCAGCAAUGCCGCGUGAGUGAAGAAGGCCUUCGGGUUGUAAAGCUCUUUUGUCAGGGAAGAAACGGUAGAGGCUAAUAUCCUNNNNUAAUGACGGUACCUGAAGAAUAAGCACCGGCUAACUACGUGCCAGCAGCCGCGGUAAUACGUAGGGUGCAAGCGUUAAUCGGAAUUACUGGGCGUAAAGCGUGCGCAGGCGGUUUUGUAAGUCUGUCGUGAAAUCCCCGGGCUCAACCUGGGAAUUGCGAUGGAGACUGCAAGGCUAGAAUCUGGCAGAGGGGGGUAGAAUUCCACGUGUAGCAGUGAAAUGCGUAGAGAUGUGGAGGAACNCCGAUGGCGAAGGCAGCCCCCUGGGUCAAGAUUGACGCUCAUGCACGAAAGCGUGGGGAGCAAACAGGAUUAGAUACCCUGGUAGUCCACGCCCUAAACGAUGUCUAC